rnacentral:rRNA from 1 species
UACGUAGGUGGCAAGCGUUGUCCGGAAUCAUUGGGCGUAAAGAGCGCGCAGGCGGCUUGGCAAGUCGGGUGUGAAAUCCCGGGGCUCAACCCCGGGACUGCAUUCGAUACUGUCAGGCUAGAGGUAGGUAGGGGAGAUCGGAAUUCCUGGUGUAGCGGUGAAAUGCGCAGAUAUCAGGAGGAACACCGGUGGCGAAGGCGGAUCUCUGGGCCUUACCUGACGCUCAGGCGCGAAAGCUAGGGGAGCGAACAGG